AUAUGGGUAUAUAUGGAUGUAAAUAUAUUUGUAAUCAUCUGAAUAAAAUCCCUAUUAUCCUUAUUACUAUCAAUUUUGAAAACCCCAUUUUUUGUGUUUGAACUAAAUAUGUACUUAUGCUGGUACCUUACAAGCUCACCUGUUUGGUGACAAAAGGGAGGGAACUUAGCAUCAUCUAUUACUACAACUAAAAAAACAAAAACAACUUCCACAUCCCAGUUGAUGGUUAUUUACCCUUCUUGACCCCUCAACAAGCUUUUGAUACUAACAAUAACCCUCUUCUCUUUGAUAUUCGUUUCUCUCUAGGUUUUUGAGACAUUUUUCUCUAGUUCUCCUAUACCUGUUAUUAGAGUCAGUUUUUUCUGACUCUUAAUACCAGACUCUCCACCAUGCAAUCCUGCCUUCCUUUGUGGCUGUUCUCACAUUCAAUCCCAAAGAGCACAAAACAAGAUUCCCCUGAGCUAAACGGACAACAGGAAGCUAAAUGCCAGUUGAUCAAUUUACACCGAACAUAAUUAUGCAUUAUCAGUCUAAAAAAGUUCCCACAAAUCAAUUCCCCAAUAAAAGCAGAGACUGCAAGAUCCUAA